UCCCUCAGUAACGGCGAGUGAAGCGGGAUUAGCCCAGCACUGAAUCCCCCGGUCGGUCGGCCGGCGGGAACUGUAGUGUGCGGGACGCCACCAGCCGCGUGGGCUGGCACCGAAGUCCUCCUGAUCGAGGCCUCUCCCACGGUGGGUGUAAGGCCUUUGCAGGUGCCGGCGUGCGUGGCCGCGAGCGUCCCAGGAGUCGAGUUGUUUGGGAAUGCAGCUCAAAGCGGGUGGUAAACUCCAUCUAAGGCUAAAUACUGGCGCGAGUCCGAUAGCGGACAAGUACCGUGAGGGAAGGUU
rnacentral:rRNA from 1 species